CUGCUAUUCAGCAAUAAAUACAAAAAACAUGUUUUUGAUACAUAUAUCAAUGUGGCUGAAUGUUGAAAUAAGUAUGUUGAAUAAAAAAGCCAGAUAAAAUGAUCACAUACUGUAUAAUUAGCUUUAUCACAAUUCUAGAAAAUACAUAAUAUUGACAAAGUAAUCGGUGGUUCCCUGCAUAUGUAAUUGGAGGAAGGGAUGUUUUAUAAUAGUGAUAGUGGCAGGAGGCAGACAAAUUCCUAGGCAGAUCAGGGUGGGUCCCUGGUGAAAUCCAACUUUCAAGCCAAAGCCUGAAAAGCCUGAAAACCGGGCUGCCAGUUCCAGGUAGAAUCCACAACCGGAAGUGAGAACUUCCUGAUGCCUUUCAGCCAAUCAAAUGGUUCUUCUUUCAGAGCCCACCCAUGGACCAAUCAGCAUGCACGUCCUUCAUUCUGAGCAUAUAAAAACCCCUGGACUCGGCCACAGCUGUCGACUACCAGGCUGCGUUAGGAGCUACCGUCUUCAGCUUUUUCUCGCUGCUGAGAGCUGUUUUGUUACUCAGUAAAACUCUUCUCCACCGUGCUCACCCUUCAGUUGACCGUGCAACUUCAUUCUUCCUGGACAUAAACCCGGGACCCACAGAACAGCGGGUGCAAAAAGGGCUGUAACGCUUUCCUGGCCGGAUCGCCAAGCUGCAGGUAAGAUGUGCCUGCUUCACCUACUGGCGUGAAUGUAAACUUUCUGAGACCUUCCCAGCCAUGUGGAACUGUAGUUGGGAGCCAGGGAAGGAGUGACACUAUCCCUAGAUGUAGUGAUAUGUUUUACAGGUCCACAGCUGGAAGGAGCUUUCCUUGAUUCUCAAAUGAGACUUUGGACUUUGGACUUUUGAGUCGGUGCUGAAACAAGUUAAGAUUUUUUGGAUUAUUGGGAUGGAGUGACUGUAUUUUGCACAUGAAAAGAACAUGAGUUUUGGAAGGGCCACGCUCUUCAUGCCUGUGUGUUUCCCGCACCCCUGGGAAGGCGAAGGGAAGGAGCUACAUUGUCAAGUGUGGUCCAGCAAGUAAGCAGGUCCUGAGCACCAAACAUAUCACAGGCACUCACUGCUUGGGCCCACCAGUCAACAGGAGCCUGCUAGAUACAGCCAUGUGCCACUCCAACCUCCCUGAGGGCAUGGCCUAUGCACUAUUUGAUUUUCAGCAUAUCAUCACGAACUCCACGGGCGUCAAGAAGCAAUGGGUGUGGAUGUAGAAGCAGCCCGGAUUGCAACUGUGGUGGUGUAUUCUUGAACUAUAUUGUUCUAUUGGUGGUUUCUAGCUUUCUUGCCUUUCUGACCAUGAUACGAGUAGCUCCCUUGAUGGGUUAGUUCUGAAGGUUCAGAGAGUCUCUCCUCAGGCCUACACAAGCUCACUACUGCUCACUUUAUGUGAUGUGGGCCUACACAAGCUCACUGCUGCUGUCUUUCUAACAUGUCUAUAUGUUCUUCAUUAACUCUAUUAGAUCACUUUCUGCUGAAAGAGAUCAGUGUGCUUUCUGUUUCCUGAACUCAACCUUGGGAAAAAUAAGCAUAAAAUAUGUAUACAACAAGUGAAGAACAUCAAAGCAGCCCUGAGAUGAAUUUUCUAGGUAGACCAUCAACUUCUUUGUCAUCAAAAGCCUCAAUUCAAGAGUGAUUCAAAUUAGUACUUUACUGAAAUUACUGAUCACUAUUUGUCACAUUACUUUAAGGCUGAUUAUGAAUAUUUGAAACUUCAUGUUAAGUGCCUCAAUACCAACAGACUACUGUACUUGUUUAAUUUAAAUUUGAAAGCUAUCAUAAUUUCAAUAAAGGAAACACAGUGUAAACAAUAAGGAGUAAGACAAGCAUAUUCAUAUAAAACAUUUAGUUGCUAUUUUUUACUAUUAAAUUAUAUGACAUAACACACCAGAAGUUGACAGUGAAAAAGUCACUUGGCCUGAAAAUACAUGAGUAUGCCAAGGAAGGAAAUGAUGUGCUAAGUUGCUCUAUUACCAAGGCUUACUGAUUUCUACUCAUUUUAUAUUUUAUCCACUCCCUCUAAUCUUCACCAUGAAAAAAAUAAUAGUAUAUGUUUUUAUAGAAUACAUUUGUAGUUACAGAUUUCGGAAUCAUAUAGAGUAAAAUGUGGAAUAUUUCUAUAAGUCUGGAUAACUCUAAGUCUUGAAAGAAUUCAACUAUGUAAAAAUCAAUGAUUUUAAAACAAACAUUGAAUACACUGAUUGGUAAAAAGCUGUAUAGUUAAAUUUACCUAUCUAAUUUAGGUAGUUGAGUAGCCACAUGUAUAUUUUGCUCUUGUUUACCAUGAAAAUUAGACAUUUCCAUUUUACAUAAAUUGAAAUAUAAGUGCACUUAUGCUAAAGUGUUUUAGAAAGCAAUUUAGAUACUUAAAAGACAACUGUAACAUAUAAAUACUAAAUAAUAUGUUACAAAAACUGUGAGAAUUUAUAAAAUAUUUUGCAUGGCAAUGAGAGAAUUAAAUACUGUUUUAGCAGUUAUAUUUGGUAUUUAUGCUACCUCCAAUUACAAGAAAGAUAGGAGGAAGACAUAAACCUGAAAUAAAAUAAGUGCACAAUAAUCUCUUAUGGUUAAAUAUUUACUGAAAUAAAUUUGUAAUUUCUUAAUACUGUAGUAUUAACUUUGUUCAAAUAGCCCACAAUUUAAAAAGAAUAGCAAGUGUAAACUUUCAUGCCAAUCAGUGGAAAAUUUGGAAUUAAGCUCAUUUUAAAUUCUGAUAUGUUUAUAUACAUGCAUAAUAAUAGAUAUAAAUACAUGUCAUGAUUUCUGCUAUAUCUAGUAAAGUGUCUUAGAUUGUUGCUGUCUUUUUAAUUUAAUUAUCACAUAAUAUCUGAUACUUGUCUAAUCAUCCUUCUGCAUUUUUAGAGGCUAAUAUUAAUAUAAUUGUGAACAGACAAAACAUAUACAUGUAUACUGAUGCACAUUCACACACACAUAUACAGAAACUCCUACAGUCCAAAGCCUUCAAAAGAAGAGCCCAUG
rnacentral:lncRNA from 10 species